rnacentral:tRNA from 1 species
CCCGGUUAGUUCAGUUGGUUAGAACGCCACACCAGAUUAACCGUGGAAACGCGGGUUCGAUUCCUGCACUGGGCU